GCAGGAGGCAGCAGGAGGCCAGAGAGGGAGCAGUUAGAGGGUGAACGGGGAGACUCCCUUCCCAGGGCGGGAUCCUGGGCUCACUAAGCUGCUGAAGCCGGCCUCCUACCUUCCCAUCCUCCAGCCUCCACUUUCUGAGUCACUGGAAUUCCAAGGGUGUGUUCAGCCACCACACCUGGCCCAGCCCAUCUUACUCAGGCCCAACUCAAAAGUCACCUAUCUGCAAACAUCUGCCUCGAGGCAGGGAAGGGCCAGUGGUACCUGGUAGGAGCCGCCUGAGAAGUCACUCGGACCCAGCUUCAGACCCCAGCUUUGCCGUUUGCCAGCCACUUGACUGGGAACAAGUCAUGUCCUCUCUCUGAGCCUGGGUUUCCUCAUCUGGAAGCGGAGAACAAAGCAGGACUUUGGGGCCCUCGCUCACUGGGCUGUGGGGAGGGCUCUUUGAAAUUCUAUACGCAGAGCAAAGCCCACACCGCAGUGCC